CUCCUCAGUAGUGAACAGGAUCUGUAAAAGCUGCUGGCAAUCAUCCCAGUUUGGCUGAUGGGCUUGACAAUCAGUCUUCUCCUGGAGUCUGUCAGUUUUAAUAAAACACUGGCUAGGGUUGGAGUCAUCUGUAAACCCAGGCAGCCUGGGUACCCAAGAAGGCCUCUUCACUUGCCUGUCUGCUACUUCACCUGAGAUGUCUGAACUACUGGAGGCUGCCCUGCUAACUCUGCUGAUGGCAACUCUUCAUGGUUAUUGUUUCACCACCUGCCUCACAAGCACAAGGUACUGAGUUUGAUCACCAAUACCAAAAAAAAAAUAAGAAGAAGAAGAAGAGGUGCUGGGCCAGGGAUUUAGUUCAGUGGCUCCACCGCCUGCCUCAGAAGCAGAAGGACUCGAGUUCAAUACCGGGGUUCUCUUGGCUUGGAUGGUCUUAUCCAGUGUCCACAAACCUGCUAUGGGCAAGCUGGCUGCCAUCAUCUCUAUCUACAUUAAGUCUAUCCAGAGUCUCUGAAAAGUAGCUGUAUACUAAGACUGAGUCUCCACUUACCUGUAAUACAAGUCAUAUGGAUAAAUAGCAACCAAAAAUGGAAUUUUUCAAUAGAACCUAAAAUAUAGAGAAAUAGCACUAGCUAAUUGAGAAAAUAGUGGUAUACUGGCUG
ensembl:lncRNA